CGGGUGAGUAACACGUGGAUAAUCUGCCUUUUAGUGGGGAAUACCGUUGGGAAACCGACGACAAUACCGCAUAAGCUCGAGAGAGGAAAGCUGUUCUGUAAAAGGAGCAGCGCUGAAAGAGGAGUCCGCGGCCGAUUAGCUUGUUGGUGGGGUAAUGGCCUACCAAGGCUGUGAUCGGUAGCCGGCCUGAGAGGGCACACGGCCACACUGGCACUGAAACACGGGCCAG
rnacentral:rRNA from 1 species